rnacentral:lncRNA from 1 species
CCAGCCUGGGUAAGAGUGAGACUCUGUCUCAAAAAACAAAAAUCCAACAUGCAUCCAGUAUCAGUAUCGCUGUGGUAGCCUGGGGGAAUCACUGAACUGCCACCAUAUUACCGAUGGCUUAAAAUAACCCAGCUAUUUUAGCUCCUUUUCUUGAGGUUUAGCAUGAGCCAAGGAUACAUAAGGUCAUCUAGGGCUCUUUAUGUCUUUGUUAUAGAAAAGUUUAAACAUGUAUGAAAAUAGAUGGCUGGGUGCGGUGGCUCAGGCCUGUAAUCCCAACACUUUGGGAGGCCAAGAUAGGUGGAUUGCUUGAGCUCAUGAGUUCGAGACCAGCCUAGGCAACAUGGCAAAACCCCAUCUCUACAAAAAGUUAAAAAAUUAGCCGGGCAUGGUGGUGCACACCUGUAAGUCCCAGCUACUCAGGAGGCUGAGGUGAGAGGAUGGCUUGAGCCUGGGAGGCAGAGGUGCAGUGACCUGACAUCGUGCCACUGUACUCCAGCCUGGGCAACAGAGCUAGAUCUUAUCCUAAAAACAAAAACAAGGCCAGGCGCGGUGGCUCAUGCCUGUAAUCCCAGCACUUUGGGAGGCCGAGGCGGGUGGAUCACGAGGUCAGGAGAUUGAGACCAUCCUGGAUAACACAGUGACACCGCGUCUCUACUAAAAAUAUAAAAAAUUAGCCGAGCGUGGUGGUGGGCGCCUGUAGUCCCAGCUACACAGAAGACUGAGGCAGGAGAAUGGCAUGAACUUGGGAGACGGAGCUUGCAGUGAGCCGAGAUCGCGCCACUGCACUCCAGCCUGGGCAACAGAGCAAGACUCUGUCUCAAAAAAACAAACAAAAAAACCAGAAAGAAGAAAGAAAAUGAGCACAACCUCCAUGUACCCAUUCCCAGUUUUUCAGUAAUUUUCAGCUCAUGGUUAAUCUUGUAAAUAACUAUUUUUUGAAAAAUUGUGUAAUAUAACUCCAAUCUAGAACUUGUCAAUAAUAAGCCUUGAAGAUCCACAAGAAAGAGAAGUUACUGGACUCUAUAGGGCGCAAGUAGUAUCAAAAUAGACCUGUGUGGGGCUGGGCUGUGAAGAUAAGGCACCCAGGACAAGCACUGCUUGAGAGUUAUAAAAAUCAAAAUGUAUCUGAUUGGUUGGAGCCAAGAGUCAAGGGUUCCAAAAUCUAACUAUGAAAAAGGGACCACCAGGCUGGGCACGGUGGCUCGUGCCUGUAGUCCCAGCACUUUGGGAGGCCAACAUGGUGAAACCCCGUCUCUACUAAAAAUACAAAAAUUAGCUGGGCGUGGUGGCAUGCGCCUGUAGUCCCAGCUACUUGGAAGGCUGAGGCAGAAUCGCUUGAACCCUGGAGGCGGAGGUUGCAGUGAGCUGAGAUCGCGCCACUGCACUCCAGCUUGAGUGACAGAGUGAGACUGUCUCAGAAAAAUAACAAUACUAAUUAAAAAAGAAAAGAAAAAGGGACUACCCAACAAGUAAAAGACUCAGGUAGAAUUCCAAUGAAGUUGGCUGGGCGUGGUGGCUCACGGCUGUAAUCCCAGCACUUUAGGAGGCCAAGGCGGGUGGAUCAUGAGGUCAGGAGUUCAAGACCAGCCUGGCCAACAUAGUGAAACCCCAUCUCUACUAAAAAUACAAAAAAUUAGCAGGGCUUGGUGGCGGGCACAUGUAAUCCCAGCUACUUGGGAGGCUGAGGCAGGAGAAUCGCUUGAACCCGGGAGGCGGAGGUUGCAGUGAGCCGAGAUCACGCCAUUGCAUUCCAGCCUGGGCGACAGUGCGAGGCUCUGUCUCAAAAAAAUAAAAAUAAAAUAAAAAUUGGCCAGGCGCGGUGGCUCAC